CCAGUCGGCCGGAUGGCCGCCCCCGCAAGGCCCGAAAGAGCAGCGGGGGAGGAAAGUCCGGGCUCCACGGGAUCAGGGUGCCGGGUAACGCCCGGCGGGGGCAACCCCAGGGAAAGUGCCACAGAAACAAACCGCCGGCCCUUCGGGGCAGGCAAGGGUGAAAAGGUGCGGCAAGAGCGCACCGCGGCCUUGGCAACAAGGCUUGGCCAGGCAAACCCCACCCGGAGCAAAACCGAAUAGGGGUGGCGCGAAGCGCAAGCUUCAGGGCUGUUUCCGGCCUGCCGCCCGGGUUGGUUGCACGAAGCCUGUGGCGACACAGGCUCCAGAUGAAUGGCCAUCCAGCAGGGGGCAACCCCUGUGGACAGAACCCGGCUUACAGGCCGGCUGGCAUU
rnacentral:RNase_P_RNA from 1 species